AGGCAAGAUGUUGGCAUAGCUGUUGAGCUAAGAACCUGCUAUGCCGACAUAUUGCCAUC
rnacentral:pre_miRNA from 1 species